AGCUGUUCUACUUCGCGUGGCAUGGGGCUGAGGAUGGAAGCUGAAAUGAAUGCCUCCUUGAAAUUUCACUGUUGAUUUCAUCGUGCUUAGACCUGGAUUUCGUGAAUUGAAUCUAUGCUUAAAGGAGCAGCAUUGAUUGGCUUAGCCACCACGUUUUUGAUCUCGGCUAGUCGAAUACACCCAUUUGGGACCAAGGGUGCUACACGAAGAAGACAGUCCUUUGCAAUCGAUGUCACAGCCUGGAUGUCUUAAAUCAAGAGUAUAUCAGGUCCUAGGGAUUUACCAGGAUGCUGUAGUGGUCGCAGAAUCACUUUGGGAAAGAAAGAAAUAUCAUUAUUAUUCGGUGUUACUGAAAUAAAAGACAUCCAGUACCAUUGUUGUGUUGUUGAAUCCUUCUCCCACACGCAAGAAACAAAAAAAAGUUCCAGAAGAACCUUGUACAUGUUCCCUGCUGUUUCGAGUCUGUCACAUUGUGAUGAUCUUUUUGGGGUUCUCUUUAAGAGAUAAAGGAAAUGUCUUUGUUUGACUGUGAAAAGGGAUGUUCACUAAACAUUGUCAACAUCUUGAGAUUCAGUUAUACUGGUACGUGGUAAGUGUUAACUAUUAAAACUAACUUUAUAAAGUAAAAUGAAAUACACGAGAAAAAUACAUAAAUUUGAAAUGA